UACCUGUUCGAGCGUCAUUACACCCCUCAAAGAUGAAUCUUUGACGUUGGGCAAUGCCUAAAGGCAUGCCUCAAAAUCAGCGAUGGUGAUAUCCAACCACGGGCGCACAAAUGUCGUCUAGCUUGGAGGGAUGUUGCCAGUCAAUUGAUGAAUUUCUAGACGUUGACCUCGGAUCAGGUAGGAGUACCCGCUGAACUUAA
rnacentral:misc_RNA from 1 species